UUGUGUAUUUGUGAGUCAAGAUGUGUGUAUCUGUGUGUCGGUGUGUAUCUGUAUGCCAGUGUAUGUGUAUAUAUGUGUGUCAGAUACAUAUACACACUGACACAGAGAUGCACACACUGGCGCAUACAAACACAG